UUUUGGUGGCUCAGAGAAUAAAGCGUCUGUCUGCAAUGCAGGAGACCUGGGUUCGAUCCCUGGAUCAGAAA
rnacentral:tRNA from 1 species